rnacentral:rRNA from 1 species
UACGUAGGGUGCGAGCGUUAAUCGGAAUUACUGGGCGUAAAGCGUGCGCAGGCGGUUUUGUAAGCCAGAUGUGAAAUCCCCGGGCUUAACCUGGGAAUGGCAUUUGGGACUGCAAGGCUUGAGUGCGGCAGAGGAGACUGGAAUUCCUGGUGUAGCAGUGAAAUGCGUAGAUAUCAGGAGGAACACCGAUGGCGAAGGCAGGUCUCUGGGCUGACACUGACGCUCAUGCACGAAAGCGUGGG